GCAAACCACAGGCGAUAUCACUGUACAGCCGAUGCCCGUGAGCGUGAAGUACACCGGUAGUCAUCAGUCUUCAGAACGAAGGUCCACCAGGGAAACGAGUACUAUUGCUAAUUAGACCCAGUCUUAGAGUUUUGUACUGCAUUGGCUGGCUUACCAUCAUGAUCUUGUGCAAUAGAAAUAGCCUCAAGCAAAGUUUCAUUUAUUUGGGGUUGCCUUCAUGAAUGCAAUAUCUGGCCCAAUACUUACCGGCCGGCGUGGAUCACAUAAAUGAAAUUAUCUUUUCUAUUGGCACUUUUGUGGCAUCACUUCUUGGGUUACUGGUAG